AUGGUGAGGAGGAGCCCUGCUUUUCCAACAGAAACACACACACGAAUCACUAGCAGAGAAGACGCAGCCAUGGGAUUCUGCAGUGGCUCUUCAGAUGUACAGGUGCUCCCAAACAACACAUCAUCGUCGUCGCCGUCUUCUUGGUCAGCGGCUGCUAAAGAUUCCGGCCACAGUGGCAAGAACAAGAAGCAGCACGUUGUAAAGAAGGAGGAGAGGAAGGAGAAGAAAAGGAGCAACCUUGACCGGGCUGCGCUCACGACGCCCCACUUCCCCUUUCAUUCUCGCCCCGGUCUUCUGUAA
rnacentral:rRNA from 1 species